rnacentral:lncRNA from 13 species
UUCCUUCCUCCCUCCCCUCUCUCCUUCCUUCCUCCCUCCCCUCUCUCUCUCCUUCCUUCCUUCCUUCCUUCCUUCCUUCCUUCUUUCCUUCCUUCCUUCCUUCCUUCCCUCCCUCCCUCCCUCCCUCCCUCCCUCCCUCCCUCCCUCCCUCCCUUCCUUCCUUCCUUCCUUCCUUCCUUCCUUCCUUCUCUCCCUCCCCCCCAACACAAGUACCAGGCUGUGGGGAGUGGGAAGAAAAGAAAGAAAAGGAAAGAAGCCUGCCAAGGGUUUUUUAUCAUGCAGAUGUAUUUGGGGGCAUUGAAGUGUUAGCGAUUGGAAAGUAUAGCAGAAGGAGCCCAGGCUCACAUGCUGCUAAAAAUAAUAAAUUCUAACUUUAGAAAACUUUGAAAUACGGCCGGCACAGCAUUGUUUCUGUUGCCUUAGGAAGAUACCCUCACUUGACCAGAUGAUUAAGGAACCAAACCAGAUGCAACUGAACCAAACUUGGGAUCACCCAGCCAGUGCACAGAAGAGCCAAAAACUAACACCACUGGGAUUUGCAGUGAAAGACAGAUGGGGAGGGGUAGCUUGGAAGGCCCCUAAGAGAGGUUCCUGCUGUUUCAAAUGCUUUCCCGGACUGACUGCGCUUUCUGGAAUUACCAAGACAAGAACCAUCUUGGGGAUAGAUAGCGCAUCUGCAAACACGGUUAUGCCACCAGGUCAGGGUCAACACUGCUGUCUCAGUGGCGACUAGGCCCACAUCUAACAAUUCCUCAUGCUUUACCCUGGCCCGUAAGCUAAAAAUGUUAGGUAAAACACUGUCUGUUCUCCUCCUGCCUCUCCUCAUCCUUCUCUGGGCUGCUCCCUUCUCUGCAGAGAGGAAACUCCUGAUUUGCUGAGAAGUUUCUCAAAAGCUACAGUGCAAAUCGCCCUAAUUGUUUGCUAGAUGAACAAUGAUCACCCUAACGUCCUAAUUAACAUUGUUAAAAUCUGCUAACGAAGGACAUUUAACAAUAUCUUAAUUAGGAAGGAUUUCCAAUUUGUGACAUGGAGCAUGUUAGACAAACACAGCACAAUUCCCCUUUUGUUCCUGGGCUCCGUAGCCAGAGAGAUUACAAGAUAUGACACAACGUGUUCUGCGUUUGCCAUUUGUCAUUCUAUAUCCUUUACACAUUUGCACUACAUAAUUAGUGUCUUGGCUAAU